AAAAAAAGAAACAAGAAAUUUGAGAGAGAAAGUGAAGAAAUUUGCAUACAGAUCUGAUGAGUUCAAGAUUGAGAUCUUCAGGAGUAAGAAGCAUGUCAGCACUCGGAUUUCUGUAAAACAUGAACUCACGCUCUCCAUCGGCGCGUAGAGUAACAAACGCGAGUGCAGUACGAGCGCCUUUGUCAAAGUUGAUACCAUCCCCUCUCACGUUGUUUUCUUUCAAGAUCCCGGCGAGCAUGUGACCGAAUUCAUCAUCACCGAGUUUUCCGACGAAGGCUGAUUUACCACCGAGUCGUGAAACAGCGAUCGCAACGUUAGCGGGUGCGCCACCGGGAGCUUUGAGAAAGCCAGGUGCUUCUGCAAGGGAGACGCCGGAAGCGGUUGGAACGAAGUCAAUGAGCAUCUCGCCAAAGCUGACGAUGAGACCGGAGCCGGUGGCGGGGAGGAGGGAAGCGUUGGAGGCCAUUGGUUUGGGAUCGUUGUGAGAGAAAAAAGAGCGAAUUGAUUUUAAUAGCGUAGUAAGAAGGAAGAAUGUGAAUAUAGAAGAUGAGAGGUGAUUAGAUGGAGUUUAUAUAGGAAAAGAGUGAUUAUAAAAGGAUUAGGAUCAAGUUUCGCGAUUAAUGGGAUAAAGUUAAUUUGAAGUUAUCCGUUUUCUUUUUCGUCAAGAUUCUUUUAACCUUUUCUUUAGAAGAAUAAAUUAAGAAUAUUGUUUUCUUCAGAAAAUAUCUGAAAAAACAAAUAUCCCAAUUUUUUUAUUUUUUUUUGGUCAGGCCAAAAAUAUUAAUUUAACAUAUUUUGUUAGAGAAUAUUUUUUUUUAAGGAAAAAAAUUUGUUUAGAGAAUUUAUUACCUGUAAUAUUUUUUUGGGUAGUGAUAUUACAUUUUUUUUCUGACAAG
rnacentral:lncRNA from 1 species